UGCCACUCGCCCCACCAGACGACCCACCGAUUAGGGUUAGUGCAGUGCCGACGGGAAGCUCAGCCGCCACCCCUCUCCCUCGACCUCACGCCGUCGCCGUCGCCACCAUGUCGACUUCGACGGGUUCGUCCUCCUCGCAGGGAGAAGGAGGGUACUACUUGAUAAGUUGCAUCAAGGAUGUUCAACCCUCAAAGGUGACAACUACACUGAAUGGAGAAAAGAAGGUCGAUUUGUGCUGAGGUGGACUGGGUUCCCACAGCCGGUCAGACCAAAAGAUCCAGUCAGAAAUGACAAGGAUGAUGAUGCUGCAUGGCAGUAUAAAAGGUGGCUAAGUGCCAUUUAUAAAGAAUACAAUUGAGAACGCUAUUGUGAGCUCAAUUGCAGAGUGUGCUUCUGUAAGGGAGUAUCUUGAAAUAAUAAAGAGCCAGUUCACUGGUUCUUCAAAGAUAUGUGCGACCCAGCUGCUGAAGCAACUGGUGACAGAAAAUUACACAUGGACAGGAAGGACAUGACAAGUGUGCCACAUGUUGUAAUAAUGCUUAUGUGGGUGUUGUCUGUGUGUAAUGUGAGUGAAAAAGUGUUGUCCGCGUUGGACAAAGAACAAAAGAAAAGAAAAGAAAAGAA